UACACAUUAUUCCAGUCUCUCUCUCUCUCUCUGUAUCAGGGCUGGUUCAUUACACAUUAUUCCGGUCUGCAGUCUCUGUAGCUGGGGUACGGUUGUGCACGUGUUCGGUCUCUCUCUCUCUGUAUCAGGUUUGGUUGUACGCAUUAUUCGGUCUCUCUCUGUAUCAGGGCUGGUUAUUUACACAUUAUUCAGUCUCUCUCUCUCUGUAUGGGGCUGGUUAUUACACAUUAUUCCAGUCUCUCUCUCUCUGUAGCCAGGGCUGGUUAUUACACAUUAUUCCAGUCUCUCUCUCUCUCUGUAUCCAGGGCUGGUUAUUACACAUUAUUCCAGUCUCUCUCUCUCUCUGUAUCCAGGGCUGGUUAUUACACAUUAUUCCAGUCUCUCUCUCUCUCUGUAUCCAGGGCUGGUUAUUACACAUUAUUCCAGUCUCUCUCUCACUCUGUAUCCAGGGCUGGUUAUUACACAUUAUUCCAGUCUCUCUCUCACUCUGUAUCCAGGGCUGGUUAUUACACAUUAUUCCAGUCUCUCUCUCUCUCUGUAGCCAGGGCUGGUUAUUACACAUUAUUCCAGUCUCUCUCUCACUCUGUAUCCAGGGCUGGUUAUUACACAUUAUUCCAGUCUCUCUCUCUCUCUGUAUCCAGGGCUGGUUAUUACACAUUAUUCCAGUCUCUCUCUCUCUGUAGCCAGGGCUGGUUAUUACACAUUAUUCCAGUCUCUCUCUCUGUAUCCAGGGCUGGUUAUUACACAUUAUUCCAGUCUCUCUCUCUCUCUGUAUCCAGGGCUGGUUAUUACACAUUAUUCCAGUCUCUCUCUCUCUCUGUAUCCAGGGCUGGUUAUUACACAUUAUUCCAGUCUCUCUCUCUCUCUCUGUAUCCAGGGCUGGUUAUUACACAUUAUUCCAGUCUCUCUCUCUCUCUCUGUAUCCAGGGCUGGUUAUUACACAUUAUUCCAGUCUCUCUCUCUCUCUGUAUCCAGGGCUGGUUAUUACACAUUAUUCCAGUCUCUCUCUCACUCUCUGUAUAGCAGGUCUCUGUAUUCUCUCUCAUACCUGGCAGCCAUCGAAUGAGAUCCUCCCCCCAGC
rnacentral:lncRNA from 1 species